AGUCGAGCGAGGCCCUCCUUCGGGGGGUGCCCUAGCGGCGAACGGGUGAGUAACACGUGGGCAACCUGCCCUCAGCUCUGGGAUAACUCCAAGAAAUUGGUGCUAAUACCGGAUGUGACCGCUGACCGCAUGGUCUGGUGGUGGAAAGAUUCAUCGGCUGAGGAUGGGCCCGCGGCCUAUCAGCUUGUUGGUGGGGUGAUGGCCCACCAAGGCGACGACGGGUAGCCGGCCUGAGAGGGUGACCGGCCACACUGGGACUGAGACACGGCCCAGACUCCUACGGGAGGCAGCAGUGGGGAAUAUUGCGCAAUGGGCGAAAGCCUGACGCAGCGACGCCGCGUGAGGGAUGACGGCCUUCGGGUUGUAAACCUCUUUCAGUAGGGACGAAGCGCAAGUGACGGUACCUACAGAAGAAGCACCGGCCAACUACGUGCCAGCAGCCGCGGUAAUACGUAGGGUGCAAGCGUUGUCCGGAAUUAUUGGGCGUAAAGAGCUCGUAGGCGGUCUGUCACGUCGGCUGUGAAAACCCGAGGCUCAACCUCGGGCCUGCAGUCGAUACGGGCAAACUAGAGUACUGCAGGGGAGACUGGAAUUCCUGGUGUAGCGGUGAAAUGCGCAGAUAUCAGGAGGAACACCGGUGGCGAAGGCGGGUCUCUGGGCAGUAACUGACGCUGAGGAGCGAAAGCGUGGGGGAGCGAACAGGAUUAGAUACCCUGGUAGUCCACGCCGUAAACGUUGGGCGCUAGGUGUGGGGGGCCAUUCCACGGGUCUCCGUGCCGCAGCUAACGCAUUAAGCGCCCCGCCUGGGGAGUACGGCCGCAAGGCUAAAACUCAAAGGAAUUGACGGGGGCCCGCACAAGCGGCGGAGCAUGUUGCUUAAUUCGAUGCAACGCGAAGAACCUUACCUAGGCUUGACAUGCACGGAAAUCUCGUAGAGAUACGGGGUGCCUUUGGCGUCGUGCACAGGUGGUGCAUGGUUGUCGUCAGCUCGUGUCGUGAGAUGUUGGGUUAAGUCCCGCAACGAGCGCAACCCUCGUUCUAUGUUGCCAGCACGUGAUGGUGGGGACUCAUAGGAGACUGCCGGGGUCAACUCGGAGGAAGGUGGGGAUGACGUCAAAUCAUCAUGCCCCUUAUGUCUAGGGCUGCAAACAUGCUACAAUGGCCGGUACAAAGGGCUGCGAUACCGCGAGGUGGAGCGAAUCCCAAAAAGCCGGUCUCAGUUCGGAUUGGGGUCUGCAACUCGACCCCAUGAAGUUGGAGUCGCUAGUAAUCGCAGAUCAGCAACGCUGCGGUGAAUACGUUCCCGGGCCUUGUACACACCGCCCGUCACGUCACGAAAGUCGGUAACGCCCGAAGCCGGUGGCCCAACCCUUGUGGAGGGAGCCGUCGAAGGC
rnacentral:rRNA from 1 species